rnacentral:rRNA from 1 species
UAGGGAAUCUUCGGCAAUGGGGGCAACCCUGACCGAGCAACGCCGCGUGAGUGAAGAAGGUUUUCGGAUCGUAAAGCUCUGUUGUAAGAGAAGAACGUGUGUGAGAGUGGAAAGUUCACACAGUGACGGUAACUUACCAGAAAGGGACGGCUAACUACGUGCCAGCAGCCGCGGUAAUACGUAGGUCCCGAGCGUUGUCCGGAUUUAUUGGGCGUAAAGCGAGCGCAGGCGGUUUAAUAAGUCUGAAGUUAAAGGCAGUGGCUUAACCAUUGUUCGCUUUGGAAACUGUUGAACUUGAGUGCAGAAGGGGAGAGUGGAAUUCCAUGUGUAGCGGUGAAAUGCGUAGAUAUAUGGAGGAGCACCGGUGGCGAAAGCGGCUCUCUGGACUGUAACUGACGCUGAGGCUCGAAAGCGUAGGGCGCAAACAGG